rnacentral:tRNA from 1 species
AGGGAUGUAGUUCAGUUGGUAGAACACUUGCCUAGCAUGUCCUGGACCAGGGUUCAAUCCCCUGCACUGCCUA